CCCUACGGGGGGCAGCAGUGAGGAAUAUUGGUCAAUGGGCGGAAGCCUGAACCAGCCAAGUCGCGUGAGGGAAUAAGGCCCUACGGGUCGUAAACCUCUUUUGCCGGGGAGCAAGGGCGGGGACGUGUCCCGGCCCGGAGAGUACCCGGAGAAAAAGCAUCGGCUAACUCCGUGCCAGCAGCCGCGGUAAUACGGAGGAUGCGAGCGUUAUCCGGAUUUAUUGGGUUUAAAGGGUGCGUAGGCGGAUUUGUAAGUCAGCGGUAAAAAUGCGGUGCUCAACGCCGUAUCGCCGUUGAAACUGCAGG
rnacentral:rRNA from 1 species